AAAUCAUAGAUCUAUAGCUAGAAGGGAAGAAAGGUUAUUUAAUUAAUUUAUUUCAUUUUAUAGAUGAGGAGACUGAAACCAAGAAAGAUUAAGUGACUUACCCAAGGCCUCCAAAGUAGGAAGAAUACAAAAGUAGGAUUUGAAUUCAACUCAAAGUUCUGCAGGGAGAACUGCAGUGUUAUUUCUACUGCUUCUUUUCCACUGUUUCUCAAGGGAAAAGUUUUCUUCUGGUGAUGUUCCAUGGCUGAAAAUCAUGAAGCACUACAAUCUUCGAAGAAUCAAAAGUAAUGACUGAAAAGGCAAUGGAAAGACUCAUUGUGGACAUCUGUCAUGGACAUGUAUGAUUAGAAAAGAGUAUGGGUCAACUAUAUAUCAAGAAUAA
rnacentral:lncRNA from 1 species